AAUCAAGGAUAAGUAUUUAUAUAGUUCUAGCUGAAGGAAAUGACUGAGAUGACCUACCUCUUAAGGCUUCAAACGUUUUUAUUUGAGAUGAUACAAGUGCAAAUAAAUGAUGAUGAGCCGCAGCUAUUCGUAUUCAAUCCAUUUUAGGAAAGAGGCCAAUUACUCAUCAAUUAAGGGUCAUGAUAACAAAUCCUAUAUAAGUUGGAGGCUCAAAUCUUCAAACUUUAUGAAAGAUAUGUUUCAAAUGUUAAUGUAAGCUACUUCAAAUAGGAAUGGACAAAAAUAAAGAUACUGUCAUUGUUCAAGAAAGAGCUGUGUGAUUGUUCAAGAAAGAACUGCUGACAGAAAUUUGCGUCGUCAUACUAGAUAUGCACAAAUGUCACCAGAGAAAAAGCAAUUAUGUUUGUCCCACGUAAAGACAAAGCUCAAAGGAUAUCAUAAGAGAAUAACUGCGCUUCCUUUUUGAAUUCUGUCAACGUGCUUAUAUCUGCAGGAGCAGAUUCUCAGGCUGCAGCAGCAUUAUUUGUAUUAGGACUGAAGGCACAUUUGGGACUUAUCUUGGUGGUUUUGGUUCUACCGUUCAAGAUGUGAGCCACUAUGUUAUCAAUUACCGUCUUCCAUAAAUCGCGCAAGGGUAUGUACAUCUGCCAAAUUUCUUUAGCUGAGAGGUCUCUCAUAUCGAGAGAAGGCCUUCACCAACUAAUGUUGGCAAACCAAGAUUAUGAGCGUCUUGCUGGUGAAGGAUUGGAUGAAAAAGAGAGGCCUAAUGUAAGUAUCCUUUAUUGGUAAGAUAAGGACUACUCCGUUGUCACAAUCCUCUUUGAUACAAUUUUUACAUUGCCCAAUAUGCAAUAUGUCGUUUUUCAUGGCAAUGUAGAUGCUGAAGUACCAAUAGCGCACCAGGAGUACUGCAUAAGACAUAUAGAUGUUUCCUGGUAAAAUCAGACGCAUAACGAAAAAAAGUGAUUCAAUGUCUUAAAGCAGCAAUUGAAAGAAGGGUAUCUGAGGUUAGCACUAAUGAUUAACUUAAUUUCUAAAAAAAUUUAGAUCCAUUGUUCGACAUAUAUUGGGAGUUAUGAGGGGCAUCUCCUUCAACCAAUUAUUUGUCAUGGUCCAUUCCUCUUUUUAAAAUUGAUUAAUUAACAACCCACAAAUAGCACAUUGCACAUUAGUAGCCUGUUCAAAGAAGUGAAACUAAGACAAAAACUUCCCUUUUUUUGACUUUUAAGUAAGAUAGACUCUUUCCUACUUCCUUCAUACGUCAAAUUUGGAAUUCUCCUACAUUUAACUGAACUUAUUUGCAACUACUAUGUUUUGGUCCAAAUAUGAAUACUACAUACUCUGAUAUAUGUCUCCCCGUU